AUGGUUUUGGUAUCCGCCCCCGUCGGCCCUCGUCCUGUCUAUGAUUCGGAUGUGGUUGUAUGUGAAUUGGAAAUGCCAACCGACACUAUUGUUGAGAGGUUAAAUUUAGUUGAAGAAGAAAACAAUUUAUUGAAGGAAAAAAUAAAAAAAAUUGAGGAGGAGAAGAUGAUAUUGGAGUUGCAUGUUGCGGAUGUCGUCGAUCAUCACAAGAUCAAGAUGGAUGCAAUGCGCUUGAAGAUUAGAAAGAUUGGAAAAUAUGCCAUUCAUACCGAGGCUUGGUAUCAUUAUGUCGUUGGAUCAAUUGUUACCUUGGUUGCAAUUAUGAUCGCAUUUGUUUUCGCAUUGAAAUGUUUUACAUAG
rnacentral:rRNA from 1 species